rfam:Toxocara canis scaffold148, whole genome shotgun sequence.
GUGGCAGUGGUUCAGUGGUAGAGUUCCCGCUUCAUACGCGGGAAAACCUGGGUUCGAUUCCCGGCUGCUUUC